rnacentral:rRNA from 1 species
UACGUAGGUGGCAAGCGUUGUCCGGAAUUAUUGGGCGUAAAACGCGCGCAGGCGGUCCUUUAAGUCUGAUGUGAAAGCCCCCGGCUCAACCGGGGAGGGUCAUUGGAAACUGGGGGACUUGAGUGCAGAAGAGGAGAGUGGAAUUCCACGUGUAGCGGUGAAAUGCGUAGAGAUGUGGAGGAACACCAGUGGCGAAGGCGACUCUCUGGUCUGUAACUGACGCUGAGGCGCGAAAGCGUGGGUAGCGAACAGG